rnacentral:rRNA from 1 species
AUGUUAAUGGGUCGGCAGAGGUACGACUCCCACUGGGAGGAAGUGAGGUUCAUCAAUGGCUACAUCUCGCUCGUGGUGUACGUCUUCGACGCCAUCAGAGGGGUCGGCUUCCUGGUGGUCACGUGGGCCACGGUGGUGCUCCUCGGUGGCUUCGUCUCGAUGAUCGACAUGGUGGAUUUUGGGCAGCUCACGCUGAUCACCCUCAUAGAGCUGCUCUGGAUAAACACCUCUUUCCUUGAAAGGAUGAGUGCUGCUGACCUGGUGAGGAUCUUCAAGGCGGUGAAAAACAAGAGAUGGCAGGUGCGCCGCCAUCACCCGGAUGAGCCAGGCAGCAAGAGAACUGCGGCGGUGCUACUUGUGCCAGCGAGAUGGGCUCUGGCGAUGGUUCAGAAUGUGGUGUUGAGCCUCUGCAUUGCCUCUGUGGUGUGUCUCUUGCUGUUUGGACCGUUGAUCACCACCUUGAUUUCAAUACUCGGUCUAAUUAGAGACGACCAUUACGGUGACACGGGCGAGGGCAGAGCAAACAUGGGCCUGGCACACGAUGUCGUGUAUGUCCUGUGUCUAGCCCAAGGUGCCUUGUUCAUGUAUAUAAUCGCCUUGUUACCCUCCAAGGAGAAGAAUGUGAAGCUAGUGAGCCAAGCAUACGGCUUCCUAGAUGGCGGUCAUUUAGUUUCAGGCUACUUGGACGAGAUCAAGAAAGGGUACUCCAAGAAGAUAUCAUCGCCCGGAGAACGAAACCUCAUCACAUAUGCUAUUGAGCUCAUGGAGUCCAUGUCGGCCCGUAGCUUCCUUUCCGGGGUGCUGAUACUAGACAGAGUACUCUCCCGGAAAAAUAUAGACAAGAUCAAAGCUCCUGAUUUGACCACACAAGAAGAAAAGCAGCAGCAAAUAUCAGAUUUAGAGGAAAUAGUUGGAGCUCCUUUGAAUAACAAGGAGCAGAGGAAAAAGAAGAGGGAGGAGUUGAGGAAGAAGAGGGAUGAGUGGAGAAACAAGAGGCAGCGGAGCCCGCAAACAGAGGAGGGGAUCAUCGUGCUGCAGUGCAGGAUAAUAAGGCAGGUGAUCGGGUCUGCAUCCACCACUCACAUUCUCCAGAAACUGCUUCAUAUGCUGGAUUCGAGGCGUCCAUCUGACAAACGGGCGAGGGAGGCCGCUGCGAGGAUAGUGAAGCACGUUGCCAGCGGGAUCUGUUUGGUCCAGUUCCCACGAGGGAUCCAAUGCAUAUCUUCACUCCUCAACUGUUUCGAAGAAUACUGCCGACUUCAGCCAUCAUCCUUCUCUUCAAUGAAUACAAACAGAGACACUACAAGGACUCCAUGGUCGUCAAAGGCAAACAAUGGUCAUGAUCAGGAACAAGACAGCAGCAUCCACACUUCGACACUGGAGUCAGAGUUGGAGUACUCAGAGUCAGAGUCAGAGUCAGAAUCAGAAUCACAUUCAGAGUCAGAUUCAGACAGGGGGAACGACCGGCCUAAGAUGCUCCAUGGCUACAAAGAGCUGGUUCUAAUUGGCCUGAAUAUCCUAUGGAGCCUCGCAGGCAGCGAGGACAACUGUGAAAUCAUAGGCAAAGCCAAAUAUCCUGUCUCAAAGAUCAUGGCGCCUGUUAGCUACGACCUAGUGCACCGCGCAGGUCAUAGUGAAUGGUCCACUAAGGUAGUAGAGAGAUCAUUGGCGGUGAUGCUUCGCCUAAUUGUGACUGCCAAGAGAGAAACUGCGACAGACCUGCUUCAACAGAUGUCAGAGGAUAAGGAAGCAAUCGCCACCAUGGAAAUAAUUGUUACCUGUGAAGAAUGUAAAGGCAGAGAAAUGCAGAUGAAGGCCAUGCAGAUCCUCGUGCAACUAUGCAUGGAGGGAACUGCAGACAGAGGUAAUCUCACUAAGAUGCUCGUAAGCAUCUUCGUUAAUGGUGAUACCGGUCACUCCAUCAGAGAGACUACAGUUAAAGCACUGGUGGUACUGUUUCUCAGCAGAAAAAGCGUCGCCCCUUUCCUCCCCAAGGAGGAACAUGAUGGGUUUGUCCAUGGCCUCACUAAAAUACUAGUAGGGGACGAUGACACAUGUAGAAAAAAUGCAGCAGAAAUUCUGGAGCAUCUAUGUAUCCAUUAUGCUGAGAAUGGUGAAUCUGUUGGUACACUCAAGAAUGCCAUGAUUGGAGUGAUGCCAAAGGUGCUUGAAGAAAUACUACUUGGUUGUGGGUCAACAGGGGAAAAAGGAAUUCCAAAGUAUACAGGAUCAGGUACUGAUGUUGAAAGCCAAGCCAUUGCCAACAAUGAUAAGAGCAACAACAGUACUUCCUCCCGUCCCAGGCAAAAGAAACACCACAAGUUGCAUGUUGCUCUGCUAUCCCUCUGCGUGACAGCAUGUGACAAACUAGACCUUGAUCUCGACGCAAUCUCGCUGGGAGAAGAAAGAGAUCAAGUUAGAGAUCCUGGGGAAUGCGUCGCGAUCAGCCUUGCUACGAAGAUGGUGCAGUUAAACAGGGGUCUCCUCACCGGCAACAGCUUGACAGCGAUGAGGCUUACCACUAGGAUGGUCAUAGCAGCAAUGAAGAAACUCAAGAGCCAUGGCAACGCCGCAAAACAAGCUGUUCUGGAGAGCCUCCUGGACUCGCUGUCCAGAGUUUCAGAGACCAUGCUGGAUCUCGAGGGCUGCAUGGUAUUUGCCACCAGGAUGAGCAAGACAAUGCCUGACAUUGCUGACACCCUCGAUUCCCUCAUGAAACAAGCACGGCAACUCCAUGGCGAAAUUAAGGGCCAAGACUCAGAAAUAGUACCAGCUAGCUAG